GGAACCCGCGGCGGGACCCGGGCAGCAGCCAAGACCUCCGCCACACCAACACUGAGACUGAUUGGGUUUUAAUUACUAUCAGCUAUCAAACUAAACAGUAAUACUCAGAAGAACACAAAACUGCUCAUAGAAUUAUAGAAUAUGCUGAGUUGGAAGGGGCCCAUCAGGAUCAUCAAGUCCAUCUCCUGGCUGUGUGCAGGACUCCUCAAGACUCACACCAUGUGCCCAAGAGAGUUGUCCAAAAGCGUCCUGAACUCUAUCAGACUUGGUGCUGUGAUGACUUCCAUGGGGAGCCUGUUCCAGUGCCCAACCACCCUCCAGGUAAAAAAUCUUUUCCUGACAUCCAACUUAAACCUCUCCUGACUCAACUCCAGGCCAUUCCCUUGGGUCCUGUCACUGAUCACAAGAGUGAAAACAUCAUUACUUGACCCUCCACUUACCCGCACAAGAAUGUUGUAACUGCAAUGAGGUCUCCCCUCAAUCUCCUUUCCUCCAGACAGAGCAAACCGAGUGACCUCAGCUGUUCCUCAUUUGGCUUUCCUUCCAGACCCUUCACCAUCCUCAUAGCCCUCAUUUAUUACACUCUCUAAUAACUUAAUAUCUUUUUUACAUGGUGGUGACCAAAACUGCCCCCAGCACUCAAGGUGAGGCCACCCUAGAGCAGAGCAGCACAAUCCCCUCCCUUGCCUUGGCAAUGCUGUCCCUGAUACCCCCAGGACAGGGUUGGCCCUCCCGGCUGCCAGGGCACUGCUGGCUCAUGUCCAACUUGCCAUCGACCAGGACCCAGGUCCCUUUCUGUGGCACUGCUCUCCAGCCUCUCAUUUCCCAGCCUGUGCACGCAGCCAGGGCUGCCCCAUGCCAAGUGCAGAAUCCAGCACUUGCCCUUGUUAAACUUCACAGCUGGUGACUGCCCAGUCCUUUAAUUCGUCAAGGUCUCUCUACAGGGCCUCUCUGCCUCUAAGGAGUUGACAGCUCUUCCCAAUUCAGUGUCUUCAGCAAACUUAGUAUUUCCUCAAGUCCUGCAUCCAGGUUUUUAAUGAAGAUGGAACCCCAUGGAACCCCACUAGUGACAGUCACCAGUCUGAUGUCACCCCAUUCACUAGAACUCUUUUUGCCUGACUUGUGAGGCAGUAGCUUACCUAUCACGUAACUCAGUUAUCCAGCUGUGUGAUGGACAAUCCAGAAGGAUUCUGUGAGAGACAGUAUCAAAGCUCUGAUGAAGUCCAAAAUAUUACAUUUCAGACUUCCCAGGCUAUUUGCAGUGCCCCGAAGAAUCAGUAAAUGUAGAGGGGUAAAUCAACCCAAUCCACGAUUGCUUGCUGGCUCAUGUAUUUCAGGGUAGAACAAGGAGGAGCCUGCCAAGGGGAGAGUCUGGCUCACUCUCUUUUUUUUUUUCCCUCCUCCCAGAUUUGUAAUGUAGUAUCCAAAGCCCAUGAGCACCAUCCUGUGGCUGCAGCUAGUUGGAAUAUUGUGAUUCAAACAAGACAGGUCUUGAGAAUGCCAUUGAUGGGUAAAUAGAUUCUGUAACUCCUUGUAGCCUUCAAAUGUCUUUAUACUUCAAUUUUUGUCUGUUUGCAUCAGAAUUGAAAUUAAUAUUUUAAGAUUAUGCUAAGUGUGUGCUUUCAAGUGUAACUUGGUUGAUUUUAUUAUUAUCAUAUUUUUUCCCUCAUUUAUAUUUUAUUUUAACAUAAUAUGACCACCUUUAGAGCUAAUGAUACUUAUUACCAUUGAGUUUAGUCAGCUUUCUCUGGAGGGCACAAUAGAUCUCUUUGCAUUAUUCCAAGGAAGAACUAUUGUUCACAAGUUCAAGGUAAGAAUUAAAAGGUAAGGUUCCUUGAAAGAGCUUGUAUAAUGUGCACAUCUGGAAAUAGAGAAAGAGCACACUAUGCUUAGUAUUAAUGUUUUACAAAUUAUUUACCAAAGUUUCUUUCUUGUCUUCCAUUAAAAACAAGCAAACAAACAAAAAACCUUUGAAUUUUAAGAAUUAAUUUACUGAUUGUGAAUUUGUCCCAAAAUUUUACUUUCCACUAUUAUGAAUUGGCCAAUCCUCAGUGAUUUCAAAAGAACAACUAUUUAAAUCCACUACAUUUUAAAAGUAUUCACAUCAGCAAGAUAUGGACCAUCUUUUGCUUGGCUAGUGUAGAUUACAUACAAUUUCUAUAAAUAGGAUUACAAGGCAAUGAUGUUGGAAAUACAGCUGGAAACAAUUAAUCCAUUGCAAGAACAGAAUUAGUGCAGGCUCACGACCUCAGAGUGAGCUGGCUGAAUAUUUCAUGGUCUGAUUAAACCAAGCAAUGGGUCACCAGCAGCGGGACUUGUGCAAACUGAACAGAAACCAAAAUAAUGGAUGGUUUUGGUCAUUGUAGGGUAGAAUUGCACUGUAAUUAUCAAUCCUUUUCUUUUUUCCCCCCAUAUCUCCUGUUUUUUAGGGUAUACUUAGAAUAUUUUUCUUUUUUCAUAUACUAAUGAAUGCAAGGUAUACCAUUUUUCACAAGAUUUUAAAAAUGAGAAUAUCAAGUUUGGGGGAUAUUUUCAAAUGGCAAAUAAGCAAAAACUAACCAGGUCUUUUAUAUUUUUAUUAAAAUGAUUAUUGUAUUCCUUUAUUAAAAUUAUGUUUUUAAAGCUAGCUAGCAUUUUUACCUCCUAAACUAAAAUAUGGUUUCCUUUCAUUUACUUACACAGAAAUUUACAAUUUUAAAUGCUCUUUCUCCUCCAUCCAAAAGUUCCUGUCUAUGAUACAUCUAUUUGAAUGACUCAAACCAGUCCCUAGACCUAACAACAAUUCACAGACUUUUUUUAUUUUUUUUUUUGCUAUUAAAAGAACUCCAUAACACAGAGACAGAGAUAAUACUUGAGGUGAAGUAUAACUGACUUUUGCUUUAUUUUUUGUUAAAUAUAAUGGAAUAUACAAUACUCUGAAAAGUGUUUUGCCAAGAUCAGUCUGUCAACACUUGCAGUCACUAGGUGAUCUAUGAAGUAAGCCAUGCACUGAGAGAGUAGAAGGACUUAGGACUGUAUUCUGCCCAAAUUAAAAUAGAGAGAAAAUACUUUAAUUGUGAUGUUUCUUCUUUAACAUAUUAGCCAUGCAUGCUUACUUUUACAUUUUUCUCUUUGUUAGUUAAGACAAUUAGUUAAGACAAUUGUUUUGUGAUGUGAAUAUACAGUGAAAUUACUUUUGAAAAGGGUAGCUAUCUUUUAUGAAGUUUUUUUUUUCUAGUGGCUUUCUUUGUGCUACAACUAUUUCUCUGGUAUCCACCCCACAAAUGUGGCAUUCUACAUCUCUGAUUUUAGGCAGGAACAGUCAAAGUAGUCCACCUUUGCUUUUUUAUUUGUUGACUUGUCUGAUGAGUCAUUUUCUUUUCCUUGAUACUUUCAAUGCUGUCGGCACUUUAUUGAGCUGUUAGGUCUAUUAAUCUGAAACUUAUUGCACAUAAUGAGGUAAGUGAAAGGGAUGCAGAAGAAACCAAAUUGAUGCCAUGGCCAUUAAAGUGUAAAAGUUCAUGUUUAGAGUUGGUCUUGCUCCUCCAAACAUGCAGGAAAGAGAGAAAAGCUUGGCAAAAGGACCAUGGGGAAAUGGAAAAAGAACCCCCAAAUAUUAUUCAAUAAUGUAUUUUUCUGUUCUCGUCUCAGUAUGAAGAAGGUAAUGGCAAGAAUGACAAGGCUGGUGUUUUGUAAAUCUGGCUUUUCAUUCUGUAGUCAAAUUAGACCUCUUUAUAUUUCAGAAGUGAUCUGCCGUGUGUUUACACCUCCACAUCUCAGCCAGCUUCUGAGCCUUUCUCUAGCCAGGUUUGAGGAAUAAAUAUAGCUGUAUGGGUCUGGCAACAUGGCCAGGAGCUACUUUCAUCCUUCUGAGCCUUUGACAAGUGCAGUCUGUCAGAUCCAUUUAGGGAGAGAGCUAAGCCACUUCUUAAAGUCCAUGAGCAGCAGGGAGGCUGAGAUCCUGAAGGUGCAAAUUCCUGCACCUACAGCCUCCUCAUAGCUGCAGUGAAAGGGCAGAGCAUCAGAGAAGUGAUGUUAUCCUCUCUGACAUGUUCACAGGGCAGGAGCCCGUCCUACCUCACUGGACAGGGGGGGCUCUUGUGUGCUCUUUCUCUCUCAGACUAGGAGGGGUUUCCUCGUCUGUUGCUGGCAAUGUUCUGGACUCAGCAGCAUUAUACAGGAUCAUGGAGUCUUUGGAAGGCAUCUGUGGAGAGCAUCAACUCCAACUCCACCCUGUUAAAUGAGGGUCACCCAGAAUGGAUUCCCAGGGCCAUGUCAAGUUGAGUUAUGAGUAUCUCCAAGAAUGGAGACUUCACAUCCUCCCUGGGUGACCUACUCCAGUGUUUGACCACCUUCACAAUUAAGGGAAAAAAAAAACUUGCCACAGCACAAAUGUUUUCUUGUGUUCAGAUGGAAUCAGCUUAGUGCCCCCCACUCUAGGGCUUUUUCUGCAGUCAGCCACAGUGUGUACUGAUAUCUGAGGUUAUUCCUCCUGAAGGGCAGGAGCCUGCACAUCCUUUUGCUGAACUUCAUAUUGUUCCUAUUUUGCCCUUCUCCACCCUGGUGAGGGUGCUAUAGAUGGUAGCAGAAUCAUCUUAUGCUUGUCACUCCUCCCAGCCUUUUUGCUAUCUGUGAACUUGUUCAAGGUGCACUUUCCACCAUUGACCAGUCCAGUAAUGAAGAGUCAAAGCAAUAUUGGCACUGGUAUCAACCCCUGAGGUACAUCUCUGGUGACUGAGCUCCAGCUGGACUUCAUGCUCCUCAUUUGAACCCCUUGAGCCCAAAAAUUCAGCCAAUUUUCAAUUCAUCUCACUGUCUACUCAUCUGGUCUAUGCCUGAGCAGUAUACCUAUGAGGGAGUUACAGGAGAAAGCAUUACAAAAGUUAAGAUAAAUACUCUGCAGUCAUAAUGUGAGCACUGCUCCCAUUUGCUCCUAGGCUACAUGCUGAGACUUCAACCCUCCUGAGAGAGCUCUGCAUCUGGGGGUAGGUCCUGGGACACUGCCAGCAUGGAGGCAGGCUGCCCUGAAUAAAGAGAACAACCAGACUUUGUGAAGUUGGAUCUAUCAGCAGCUGGAAAUGGAUAAGUACAAAUACUUUAGCCUGGCAAAAUGUUUCACUGGAUUAAGCUUCAGUGCAGAUUGAUUUGCAGCCCAUCAAUGGUAUAACUCAACACAGUGAGGGAAGGAUCCCCCAUAUUUUACUGAAUAAGCAUAAGAGUUACAGAUUCUGGCUAUCUGCGCAAGAAAUAAUUUUCUUUGGAAUGAAAUCCUGGCUGAAAUGUGUAUUUAAACCAGUCAGAGCUGGAAGCAAGACGGUGGUGGUCUCUAAAUAAAUACCAUAAGUUAUGAAUGCAAGGGAACAAGAAAGAAUUCCUUUCCAACUAACAUGUAUCUUAAGCUAUUACCUAAAAUAAACAGAGCUUCUUGUCUUUCUCCUCCUGAGCAUCUGCACUGAGUUCCUACACUAAACACCCUUGAACACUGUAAUUAUGCACUUCUGGUCUGCCUCACUCUACUCCAAACACUUUUCUAGUACAAGUUUUACAUGAGGAACAAGAUUUAUUAAAUGUUGUAUGCAUGAUUAUCUGGUUUUGCAUUUUGUGGAUUACUGAAAAACUGAAUUUUCAGUUUUUCCAAUUUGCAAUUUUAAGAAAAGUAUCUGUUCAUUUGACUCUAAAAAUAAUUAUAGUUGUCUCCUAGAAUAUCACAGAGCAUUUUUUAUGUGACUGAAUAAACACACAAACCAAACUCACCUUUAAGAUAGUAUUUUAUAUUUCUCAAAUUUUUUUAUUCAUUAAACUGAUUCGUUUGUACAGUUUUCAACAGCCUGGUUCUCUUUGCUUUUGUUUUAAGGGGUUUGAAGUGGAUGAUGAGAAUCAGAUGUGGGUACUUUUUUCCCCUACUCAUUUUUAAGCACUACAGUUGGAAUUUUCAGGAAUAGACUUUAAGCAUAUGUUAAACAUAUAAAGUUAUCUUUCCAUGAAUAAAAUAUUGAAUUGACCUUAGUGGAAACCUUAUGAAAGAGAAAUGGUCCUGAGAUAUGUCUUUGCCAAAGAAAAAAAAAAAAAUUUGUAACAUUUUUUCGUAAAAAAAUCUUAGCCUGUAUUUUAGCUGUAUUUAAUUUUAUAUGAAAAUGUGAACAGAGGAAAACCAAGAGAUAUUUUAAUGUUUUUAUUUGCUGCAAACAGCUCAAUAAAAUCACCCCUACUUAAACACUCACUGAAGAAAUUCAGUAUGCCUUCCAUAUUUAUAUUACAGGAGUAUUUAACUUUUUAUUUAUAUUUUAUUUUAUUUGUGCUUUAUUUUUCCAUUUAAUACUAAUACUAAAAAUCAGUAUACGGGAAAUCUCAUUUUAUUAGGUAUGAGAAGAAUUUACAACAGUUUGAAAUAGUUUUCUUUUUUUUAGCUGUGAAGCAAUAACAGAGGGGGGCAGUCUUGGAUAAACAUCUCUUCUGUGUAUUCACAAACCCCUGCCUUUUGUGCUUCUGCAGAUCCAAAUUCAAUUACUGUGUCUGUUAGAACACAACUCUUUGAUCUAUGUGAAGAGUCAAGAAAUUAUCAGUUGUACAGACCUGGAUUACUCCCCUUCUGUGCAGAAAGGUUCCACUGAGGCAAGCACAACCCACUGGAGCUCCUGGUGGAGGAAAUCUGCUGCUCUGGGAUGGGCUGAGGUCAGAGGUGGUACUUGCACUGCAAGAGUUCCUGUGCCUGUGGUCUUUGAGCUCUCCCUGAGACUCAGAUAAUUUGGUUUACCAUGAAUUGCUGUGAUAAAGAGGAGGCUGAUUUGUUUCUGCUCUGCAUCUAUUGCAGAAUCAGCUCUGUCUUGGGCAUGCACCCAGGAAGUGCAUACACUUCCCACUGAACAUGAUUAAGCACCUAAAAUAAAGUCAAAAAUAACAGGAAAUUACACGGGAGGAAAGUAAGUGUAUACUCUAGCAUUAAACAAAGAGACAGCAGAAACUGUGCCUCAAAGUGAUCUGACAAUUUAAAGAAUUAUAGGGUAUUGUGACAAAGAAUGAGAAAGAGGAAAAAAGGAGAGGCAAUAGUCUACAAUCACAAAAAGCAGAUACCAUCUCAAAAGCUUUUGGUUUAGCCUUUUUUUUCCUUAACUCUCAACACUUAGAGACUGUAUUUUAUGCUGUUGUAAAAACUUUUUUGAGUAUAUGCUUCUUGCCCUGAACAUUACCUCAAUCCAUGUUCUCCACAAAAUAGGUAAAAAUAGGAUAUUUGGCAACACUCCAUCCAUGACUCUACAUAAUUUUCUAGUAUUUGUUUAUUAAACUGUAGUGAAUGACUUCUCAUCUCAGGCUUCUUGAUCAAGUACCAUAAUCCCCAUAUCAUCACUUUUUUGCUGUUUCAUUUUCAUUAUCACUGUUUGGACCUUUAAUUUUGUAAUCUUUCAUUUAUUGCUAGCAUCUUACAUAAAUGGUAGUUUAAAUGUUCUUGUAAUAUUGGCACUGGCCACAGUAAUAUUCUUUGUCUUACAGUGCACCGAAAAAAGUUUAUCUGUGGCCUGUUUAACACAGUGUUUGAGGUCAGACAUGUUAUAAAAUAAUAAUAAAAAUAAUGUCUUGUUUCUUACACAGUGUUUCUUACACCAUAACCUUCAGAGAUAAUGGUGGUGUAGUAGAUGUUCUUCACUGUCUUAUACAAUCAGAAUCUCUGUCCUGAGGUAUGCAGUCUUGGAAGAACAGCCAAAACACCUACUUUAGGCCACUGGACAUUUCACAAUGUUGGGGUUUUUUAGAAAUAAAAAUAGCAGUUAAUCAUAAAUCUAUUAUUAUUAUUAUUUUCCAGAACAUGGAAAUUAGUUACUCGUGUUUGACCCAUCAGCCAAUUUAUCCCUUCAAACAGCAAGGUUUAACCCAACAAAUUAGUCCUUAAAAGCUGAAAACUCUGAAUGCUUUUGCACUGGGAAGUGAGUGUGUGAGUCCUUGCAGUAACAGACUCUAUGUUCACAUUGCUUUUGCAUAUGCUGGCUUGCUGGAGCUAAUAUUAGCCUGUGUAAGAGACUGAGUACACAGGAAACUAGACAGCAAUUCAACUACAUCAAGACGCACCACAAUCCUCUUUCAUCCUGAUCAUUUUUUCCCAAACCAGCCAAAGGAGUAACUUACUUUCCUGUCUCCCAUGUAGCAGAGGUCAUUCUCCAGGGAGGAAUCAGAUUGUUAUUUGAUGAUAUUAACCUUUGGAGGGCUCCCCCUCUUAUCUUCCCUGUGCUCUAUCAGUGUUUAGGCUGCCAGCCUGGAAGGUCUGGGAAGCUGAACAGGAGAAUGUGGAUUUGGACAAUGAGACCUCCUCAGUAAAAUAAUUAUGCACUGGACCUAAAAUAUGCAAACUGUAGGAGUCUACAAUAGGGAUUUGAAUCUGUGCACUGAUAAAAGCAGCUUGGUUGGGAUUUGACUGUGUUCCAUUACAAUGAAGAGCAAAACUCACUGUAAAAGGGGAGGAUAGGAUCAGCUUAUUUCAAAGCAAGCUAUAAUCACCAUUAAAAUUCUGUAAUCUUCAUGUGCAGCUCACACCCAGAAGCUCUCCUUGAGCAGUUCUCCUCCAGGUGAUGCAGAACCAUCCCAGUGUCUGUCCUUUAGAUGCUUCUGUACUGUGUCAGAGAAAGGAACAGGCAGUAAUGGGGCAUUUUUGAGUGCAUAAAGAUUUCCUAAAAUCAUGUUUCUACCCUUCUCUACAAUCUGAUUUUCAUUUUCUUUGCAUUAUAUCUGCUGAUAUUUUAAAAACUUGGGUAUUUAUUGCCUGCACACUAAUGAAAAACUAAAUAACUGGAAAGAAGUGAAGAACAGCUUUGUUUCUCCAGCUUUUUUUCACCAGUGUUGUACAUUCUUAUGAUGUUAUCUUUUUGUAAAAACUUCCACAUGGCCAUUUGCCAUGUCCAGCAAGUAUAAUUAUUAGACAAGUUCAGAUACGUAUAUUCUGUUAAUAUUCCAGACUUUUCAUCAUAAAACUUAGAGCAUGUGAAGGUUCCUCAGCAGAGGAACACAGUAAGAAUGCAGUGCUGUGGCUUGUUUGUGUUCUCAGGAUUAGAGAGAGCUCAGUGUGCCACAUUAGAGUGGCCUAUUAAAACAAAAGCCUGAGUGACACCCAGUGCUUUAGUGAUGCUGAAUCACUACCCUGAAUAUCAGUGGAGCAGGUUAAUUCUUUACUGGCAUAAGGAGCAUCCAGUCUCUCUCUUUUUUUUUUUUUUUUUUUUUUUUUUUUUUUUUUUUUGAAGAUGUUAGAGAAUCAUCAUAGUCAAAUUUUAAACCAAGGUUGCAUUUGGUGGUCAAGUGCAGUGCAAAUUUAAAAAAUAACUUCCUAAAUAUGAGCUGUCUUAUCUUUCUGCUGUUAAAGUCAGCCUGCCAGUAAGAAGUCAGACUUAGAAGUGAUUUUUCUUCUAAUCUUAUAGUCAGGCAGCAUUUUUGUACACUUAAUGGAAUUAAUUCUGAUUUUCCAGUAGGUAAAUAAAAACAGAAGGUCACCAUAAAUAUUUACAAUCACAAUUGUCAUUUGCCUAACUACAUUCUUGAAGAAUUUUCAACACCAUUUGUUAAACUAGCAUUAUUUUUUUUUUCAUUUGCUUAAUGAGUGUUUAAGAUUUAUAGGACUUUCAUUAUUGUCAGUAUCAAAAUCAGAAUUAUUAAUGGAGUUAAAACGAAACAUCUGAACUCUUCAUAAUUCUCCCUCUAUUUGCAAGAAUGAAAACCACAUUUUCCAGCUGUCGUAUUUACUUACAAAUUCCCACUUAUGUUAUUGUACUGAAAAUACUGUGUGAACCAA